UGACAUCAAAUUAAAAUUCAGUAUAAACCAUCAUGUUUACAAAUAGUGAGAGUUUUGUUGAGGACAUCUAACUGAAAGAGGUUUAUUUUUGACAUCAAAUUCUUCAUGAAAUAUGUCAGCAUCCACGGCCAGCUCGGAGCAUGUCCGUGCGCCAUCGGCAUGUGAUCCUGUUGGAGUUGAUGAGUGGCAGAGCCUCAUUGCAAAGGCGUUGUAUAUGCGGUCAACUACAGUUUGUGUGUCCGUUUAAAUAGCUGCAGCAGCUGAACAUCACAUGUAUCUAUUUUUUUCUUGCUAUGUAAGAACUAUAUAAUUGUAAGUGUCAUCGGAUGUAAUGCACAUAUGAUAUAUGCACACUCUGGUAGUUCUGUUUA